CACAGCUGAAAUGCUCGUCUCUGCUUCCUGAUGUCUGAAUCUUACACUGGGAAGACUGCAGGCAACUCAAUGGCCCAGGGCUAGAAUCAUCUGAAACCUCAGAUUUAGCUUCAUGAUCAAAAUCACCUCAGGGCAUACUAUAAUCAAGCAAACAUCAGCCUUCAAGAGAUGCACCAUAUGACUACAUCCACAGAGCAUCUUGAUGAAUUUCUGUCCAUAAAAACCCUCUGAGAGAAGUCAUGAAAACAAGUAAGUCUGUUGAGCUUUACAUAUGCCGGUCUUAGCCAAAUUUGUCUGACCACAAGAUCCUUUGAUCUCCCCAUAAAACAUUUUCUACGACUGGGGGAGCUCAAGUCCUGUAGAGCUCACCAUGGGAUACACAGCUCCACGACUGUGUCUCUGCCUCAUCUGCUUCCAUUGCUCAUCCAGGAAUUGAGAAGCCUUUCUUUAUCAUUUAAGCCAUGAGAUGGCACAGGAAGAAAAAACCAGAUGCCUGUUUAAGUCACCUUGAGAUUUCCACUUCUUCUUCCACUGAAUUGUCCUUGAUAUUUCCUUUGGAAAUAAAUUCCAAGGUAAUAAAAGGCCUCAGUGCA
rnacentral:antisense_RNA from 1 species